GAUGAACGCUGGCGGCGUGCUUAACACAUGCAAGUCGAACGGACAUGUCUUUCGGGAUAUGUUAGUGGCAGACGGGUGCGUAACACGUGGGUCACCUGCCCUAGAGUGGGGAAUAACUAUCCUAACGGAUAGCUAAUACCGCAUAUGCUCGGUGAUUCGUUUUGCCGAGUAAAGUCGUAAGGCGCUUUAGGAUGGGCCUGCGGCGGAUUAGGUAGUUGGUGGGGUAAUGGCCUACCAAGCCGAUGAUCCGUAGGGGGCGUGAGAGCGUGGCCCCCCACACUGCGACUGAGAUACGGCCGACACUCCUACCGGGAGGGCUG
rnacentral:rRNA from 1 species